UACGUAGGGGGCUAGCGUUGUUCGGAUUUACUGGGCGUAAAGCGCACGUAGGCGGAUUAUUAAGUCGGGGGUGAAAUCCUGGAGCUCAACUCCAGAAUUGCCUUCGAUACUGGCUUUCUAGAGGCUGGAAGAGGUUAGUGGAAUUCCCAGUGUAGAGGUGAAAUUCGUAGAUAUUGGGAAGAACACCAGUGGCGAAGGCGGCUAACUGGUCCAGAUCUGACGCUGAGGUGCGAAAGCGUGGGGAGCAAACAGG
rnacentral:rRNA from 1 species